UUCUUGGAGGAUUGACAAAUUGAGAGCUCUUUCUUGAUUCGGCGCCAAAAUGGCCGUUCUUAGUUGGUGGAGCGAUUUGUCUGGUUCAUUUCAAUAACGAACGAAACUCUAGCCUAUUAAAUAGGUGCUUGGUUCUCUGCACUUGGCACCCUUCUUAGAAAGACAAGCGGCUCCUAUCCGCACGAAACAGGGCCUACACGAAACGCGCGCUACA
rnacentral:rRNA from 1 species